rnacentral:rRNA from 1 species
GAUGAACGCUGGCGGCGUGCCUAAUACAUGCAAGUCGAGCGAAUGGAUUAAGAGCUUGCUCUUAUGAAGUUAGCGGCGGACGGGUGAGUAACACGUGGGUAACCUGCCCAUAAGACUGGGAUAACUCCGGGAAACCGGGGCUAAUACCGGAUAACAUUUUGAACCGCAUGGUUCGAAAUUGAAAGGCGGCUUCGGCUGUCACUUAUGGAUGGACCCGCGUCGCAUUAGCUAGUUGGUGAGGUAACGGCACACCAAGGCAACGAUGAGUAGCCGACCUGAGAGGGUGAUCGGCCACACUGGGACUGAGAAACGGCCCAGACUCCUACGGGGGGCAGCAGUAGGGAAUCUUCCGCAAUGGACGAAAGUCUGACGUAGCAACGCCGCGUGAGUGAUGAAGGCUUUCGGGUCGUAAAACUCUGUUGUUAGGGAAGAACAAGUGCUAGUUGAAUAAGCUGGCACCUUGACGGUACCUAACCAGAAAGCCACGGCUAACUACGUGCCAGCAGCCGCCGUAA